AACGUAGGUGGCAAGCGUUAUCCGGAAUUACUGGGCGUAAAGGGCGCGUAGGCGGCCAGCACAAGUCAGUUGUGAAAUCUCCGAGCUUAACUCGGAAAGGUCAACUGAUACUGUGCGGCUAGAGUGCGGAAGGGGCAACUGGAAUUCUUGGUGUAGCGGUGAAAUGCGUAGAUAUCAAGAGGAACACCUGCGGCGAAGGCGGGUUGCUGGGCCGACACUGACGCUGAGGCGCGAAAGCCAGGGGAGCGAACGGG
rnacentral:rRNA from 1 species